UUUUAUGUUAAAUUUGAGGUGAUGCACAAGUUUGAACUUAUUUUUGUGUAAAUUGUGAAGCUCAUUUCUCCAUUCAUUUUAUUCUACAUAGUCAUCUAGUGAUUUCAUCACUAUUUGUGGAAUCUUUAAACAGCUCUUACUCCUUGGACAAAGCCAGUUGAGUAUAUCUACGUUGAUGUAUUCAGGGGCUCUCUGUUCUGUGGAGUUUAUCAAUGUGCCCAUUUCUUCACUAAUAUUACACUCUCCAUUGUUGUAGAUUUAUAAAUCUUGGAAUCUAGGUGUGGAAGUUCUUCAACUUUGUUUCUCUUCAGUCUUCUGUCAUCUACUCUAGGUUCUAAAACACUUUGUUGAUCUCCUUUCCCGGAAUUUUUUUUUAAGAUUGUGCUGAAUCUGUAGAUUCAUUCUGGUGGAACUACCAUCUUAAUAUUGAGUCAACCAAUCCUGAAAACCAGUAUCUCUCCAAUUAUUCUAGUUUUUCUUUAUUUCAUUUAACUAUGUUUCAAGGUUUCAGCAAUAAUGAUGUCUAUUUUAUUCUGUGUUUCAAGGUUUUCUGGAUGCAUAUUUAUACAUCUUUUCUUAGGUUUAUACCUAAAGACUUGAAGUUGGGAUAUUUCGUCAUAAUUUUUUUUUUAUUUCAAAUUCCAAUUGUAAAAUUAGGAAAUCAAUUGACUUGUAUUAUUGGUCUUUUACUUUGCUUCUGGUUAUCUCCGUUCAUUUCAGAUCAAGGUAAGAGAUAGGUCCAUUUCAAUUUGAAUUUCAGAAAUCGUGGCAUUGUAUAAUUCUUACCCAACAUUUCAGUGAUGCGGUGGGACUCUUGUGAAGCCGUGAACUCAGUGCGUGAGGCACUGCGCCCUGGGACCGGCAGGGGGAGCCAGAACCCGCUUUUCUGACCUGUGUAUUGCGCGUGCGUAUUUCGCUUACGGAAGUCCUCUUGGUCAGACUCAGUCCUCGCCUCACUUGGGCCGCGUCCGCCGCGAAGGAGAGGCUCGCUUCCCUCGUGUCCUUUGCAGAUGGCUGAAGCGGGGUUCUUUGCCGCACUUCUCCCGGAAGUUUUUCUGAAAUAGGAAGUAGGGAAGUUCUCGUUUGCUGGCGUGUUCUCGUGAAGUUUGUUCUUCACUGUUAAGAAGACACUUUUUAAACAUGUUAUUAAAAGCGUCCUCUCGUUGAGGCUUUGCCUGUGGGUUUACAAGUUUGGGUUCGUUAUUUCGGAGAGUUCCCCAGGCGGGGGCGACGGGGCGACGAGGGAGCGGCGGCGGGGACGGCGCCCUCUGCCCUCCUGGGUGGCGGGUGGCGGGUGGCGGCCCGGCUUCCCGGGGUGGUCCCAAGCGCAAGACUUAGAAAAGAGCGACACUCCUUCAACUGUUACUACGAAAUGUGCGACACUCCUUCAACCGUUACUACGAAAUGUGCGACACUCCUUCAACCGUUACUACGGAAUGUGCGACACUCCUUCAACCGUUACUACGAAAUGUGCGACACUCCUUCAACCGUUACUACGAAAUGUGAGACACUCCUUCAACUGUUACUACGAAACCGAAACUUAACAUUUCACUUUCCUGGCUUAAUGGAAGCGAAUACAUCAAGAAUAUUUAUUUCCGUUGAAGAAAGUCCCAGUUUGACGUAUAACAAUGAAGUAACAGGUAUUUUUUUACAAGGAUUAGCAUCUUAGGUGAAAUAGGUUAACCAUAUUAACUUUUCAUAUUAAACCACAAAAUGAAGAGAGGUUUGGUUGUUUGGUUUUGGUUUUGUUCCUAGACUUUGGUCAUUUAUAAUAAAUUCAGAAUUAACUAAAGGUCAAUUAACCCUGAGUUCUUCUUCUUCUUCUUCUUUUUUUUUUUAAGUAUUUCCCAUCUUUAUUUUUUUUAUUUGUUUUAAUUAGUUACACAUGACAGUACAAUGAUCUUGACAUAUCAUAUGUUUUUUUUUUUUUUUUUAAUUUUAAUAUUUAUUUUUUAGUUAUUGGCGGACACAACAUCUUUGUUUGUACGUGGUGCUGAGGAUCGAACCCGGGCCGCACGCAUGGCAGGCGAGCGCGCUACCGCUUGAGCCACAUCCCCAGCCCACAUAUCAUAUGUUUGAAUCAGAUGGGGUCUAAUUUCUCAUUUUUCUGAGUGUACAGGUUGCAGAAUCACAUUGGUCAUGCAAUCACGAAUAUACCCACAGCGAUAAUAAUGUCUAUUUUAUUCUGCUGUCCUUCCAUUCCCCUGUUUCCCUCCCCUCCCAUCACUUCUCUCUACACAAUCUAAUGUGACACACUUCUUUUUUUCCCCUCACAUCGUCAUACAUGUAUUCUGUAUAACCAUGAGAGUCUCCUUCCAUCUUCCAUGCAAUUCCCCUUCUCCCUCCCUUUCUCUCCCACCUCUCUUCCUUAUCUAGAGGUAAUCAGCUUCUCAUGCUCUUCCUCCCUAACCCUGAGUUCUUAAUGCUACUUUUUGUUUGCAUUAUUUAUGUUUUCCUUACUUCAGGGUCCAUUUUGCUGGUUUACAUUUUCUAGGAAAUUACAUAAUUUCUGUAGGUUUACAGUUUUAUUGUACGUUUAUUGGAAAUGUUCGUCUCUCCUAUAUUUGUACUUUUAUACAAAAAUAAUUUUCUUUUUCCUACUGGGAUUGAACUCACUGGUGCUUUAUCCCUGAGCCACAUCCCCAGCCUUUUUAUGUUUUAUUUUGAGAAUGGGUCUAGCUAAAUUGAUGAGGCUGGCUUUGAACUUGCCUCAGCCUCCAGAGUUGCUGGGAUUACAGAUGUGUGCCAGCAAACCUGGCUUUUAUACAGUAUUCUUAAUCUUAUCUAUGUUUUUCUUUUCUCUCUUUUCUAUUUUUAGUCAACUGUAGUGUUAAAAUAUGCAUAUUACACUGUUUCAAAUGACAUAAUUGCUAUUUGGCAAUUCUUAUGAUCCACUCAUUGUUAUUGUUUCUUAUCAGUUACUGAUGUGUUUGUGUGUGUGUGUGUGUGUGUGUGUGAUUACUAACACAAUAACAGUAUUUUUAUCAGUUAUCAUACUAGUACAAUCAGUACCAAUAACUGAUUUUAUUUUUAUUUAUAUAUAAUGGAAUUUCUAUUAUCAAUAAAUAAGCUCGUGUAUUUAUAUGUAAAUAUACAAACUACUACACACACGUGUGUGUAUUACAAUGUGUACAUAUACAUAUAUAUUAUGUAUAUAUAGUAUACACACAUACAUAUACAAUAUUGGUAGCUAGCUAUAUCAUUUACAGGUAUUGUAACCAUUAACUAUUAUAAGCAAGAAGUCAUCAUUUUGAGGAAGGGAAUCUAAAGGCUUUCUAUACCUGCCAUAUUUGUGCAUUGUCAUAUCGAUAGUGAGAAGCAUUAUUAGGUCAUUAUGUUUCUAACUUGUUGAUAAUAUCCCGAGCUAGACCAUGUCCAUUUCUUCUUUAAUUUGAAUAAAGUCAAUAAAGCUUCUUCUAUUUUAUGACAGUGUAGUUAAUGUGAACAUACUUUGUGAUAUUAUACAUUUGCCAACAAUGGGCAAUGGCUGUUGUAGAAAUUUAAAGGUAAAGAAAACUGUGUUAUUUCUGGUUUUGAUAAUUGUAUUUCAGGUUUAACAUGAUUUCCUAGGAGCAUUAUAAAUUUCUUUUGGAUUUUAUUAUACAAAUAAGUCACAUAUCCCUUUUUUAUCAUUAGCUAUAUGACUAGCUAAAUCAAUAUUAUUCAUUCAAUUAAAAUUAGAAGCAUUCUAUUGUUUGUGCCUCCAAAAUAAUAACUCAAAGAGGUAAUAUUUUCCCCACAGAAUAAAACGUCUAAAACCAUUCAAAAUAUCCUUCCAUUUUUUUCUCUGAUUACUUUCUGUAGAGCGUCAUCAAGUAAAUUAUCAAUCUGAGUGCCUUUGGAAUGCUUCUGUUUUAGCAAACAUUUCAGUGAAACAUCAUAUCAUCAUGUCAUGAAUUCUGUUCAUAUUCUCCUAAUCUUUGAAUGUUUUUUCCAGUGGCAAAUAUUUGCAUUACUACAACUAAAAUAUAUACAUGGAAACACAAUAAAGAAUGUUUUGGAAUAAGUGACCCAGUCACAAUGAAGCAAUUCACCAUUGGAGCUUUUUUUAAUAAAGCCAGUAUUUUGAAAAUGUUCAGCCAUGAAGUAAUGUAGAGUAUCUAAAGGCUACACCUUUUCCUGGUGAAAUGUCACUUACUUUUUAGAAUAUGAGCCCAGGACACAGCAACACAUCAAUAAAAAGUAACAAUAAUAUAAUGAAUAAUUAUACACCUAAGCCAUAAAAUAAGUGAUACCUGAAAUUCUACAAAGAUGGGCUAUAUUCUUUAUUUUUCAGUGUGCUCUUUUAAAAAAAAGUACAGCCAGUUAUCAUUGUCAGUUAUUAAUGACUAACACUAAACGUACACACAUUUGAAAACAAAAUGUUUUAAUAAAUUUUUAUUUCAGAACAAUGUAAGAUUUACACAAAAUUUGAAGAGAAUAGUAUAGAGACUUCCCAGAGCCCCCUCUUAUUAACAUCGUAAAUCAGUGUGGUACAUUUGUCACAAUUAGUGAACAAAUACUAAUUAUCACCACCUGAAGUUCAUAUUUUAUUUAGAUUUGCCAAUUUCCCUGUUCCAGAUUCCCAACCAGGACACCAGCUUACAUUUACUAGUGAUAUGUUUCAGCUCUUCUGGCUAUCACAGAUUUUUAGGCUUUCAUAUUUUUGAUGAUCUUAAUAAUGUUUAUACUGGUCAAGUUGGAUAAAGUUCCCCAUUUGAGAUUUCCUUGAUGUUUUCCUCAUAAUUUAGUUGGGCUUAUUGGUUCUGGAAAAGAUUAGAGGUAGGGUGCUGUUCUCACACUUGAUAUCAUACAUAUGUGCUCUAUAGAUGGUUUUUCCCUGUUAAUGUUAACUAUGACCACUUGGAUAAGGUUGUUUGUCAGGUUUCUCCUCCAGGAAUUUGCAUUUUGCCCCAUCUAUGCUUGAUGUAGUCUUUAGGAAGAAAUCCUUAUGCACACCCCACAUCUAAGAAGUUGGCAGUUAGCUUCAUCUCGAUGACUAUCUGCAUUAUUUGGGGAGAAUUCCUCUAAAUAGGAGCUUUCUAUUUACUCCAACUCGUUCAUCCAGUAUGGACACCUGGAUAGUUAUCUUAAGCUUUUGGUUAUAAUUCAGUACUAUGUUAUUUAUUUCUAUUGUUCCUGCUUUAGCCAUUGGGGAAUCUUGCCAGUAGCUUUCUUUUCUUUGACAAAAUCCCAUCUUGGUGGGUUUUAUUUUGUUGGACACUUUCUUUCUUUCUGGCACUUUAAUUUUAUCUAGUUUUGUAUUUUGAUGCCCCAGUUCUAGUGUCAUCCAUUUCUCUGAGGACCUCUGCCUUCUUUUAUUGGAAAAUGGUAUUAAAAACCUAAAUUUGAAACUCCUCUUAGAUCCAUAGAGAAGUAAGGUUAUAAGGACAAACCUCAGCCCCUAAAGUUGAAGACAUCCACAGUUAAAUAGAGAAAAACACAACUUACUAAGCAGAAAUCCACCAACAGAACCUCCAUGGUAAUCAGUGCUAAGAAACCCAAGCAGUAAUUGAUGAAUUGCUAGAGGCUUAGUUUGGACAAGUAUGAGAGAUAAAGUCUCCAGGAGGGAGCUUCACUUUCAAUGAGUUUACCUCCCAAAGCUCUACCAGGUUCUUAUAAAUGAAUAUUAGUGAAAAAUACCCUUGUGCUUCCCACAAAAGAAAAGGACCAUUUUAAAAUAUGCCAGACUGUUCUACUCUUAACAAGAUUUGUCCUCAAAAAAAACUUUUUACCAUCUUUAUUGAGAUGUAAUUGACAAAUGAAAAUUGUGUACAUAAAGUGUACUAUGUGAUGAUUUGAUAUACAUAGACUUUGUGAAAUGAUCACUGUAAUCAAGCUAGUUAGUACAUCUAUUACCUUUGUGUAAGGAUGAGGUAAGAACACUUAAUAUAUAUUCUCUUAGUAAAUUUGAGUAUACAGUAUGGUGUUAACUACAGUCACUAUGCUAUAUAUUAAAUACCCAGAACUUGUCUUAUAACUGGAAAUUUAUCUCCUUAUGGCCAAUAUCCCCCCAUUUUCCCCAUUCAGUCUUUCUAGGACCUCCAUCAAAGGGUUGUAAUCUAAUCCCUAUUCAUGACUCAUUUUCAUUAUUUUUCCAGGCACUACCUCUAAUUAUUAGCAUCAUCUUAUAAAGUAUUUUACUGUUGGAAAAUGCUUUCAUGCAUAAAUUAUCAUGUUGAUAUGUUCCUGCUCAAGAAGGUUAGGAGAUGACAGUAAAUGUCACAUGGGCCCAGUGGGUAAGUCUCAACACUGAUGUACUUAUCCAAAUGUCCAGAACAGCACCACACAACACUCCACUCUCCACCCUCAUCCAUGAUCCUUCAGAGCACUUACAGCUACUUAAAGAUUUUUUUCCUUGUUUACUUAUAUCUAGUGUGUCACUCACUAGAAUACAGUGUUCCUGACCACAAUUUCAUGUCUUCCUUACUACUUGAGCUUCAACAGGGAGAACACUGAGUGCUGGAGACUUGGUGACUAUUUUUUGAAUGAAUACAUUUGUGGAUUAAAUUUUUACUAACUGGCAAUUCUGUUCUAAGCACUAGGCUAGGGUUUGAGUAGUAAAAACAGGCAUUUUGUUUUUCAUUUGUUUGCUUUUUGUUUUUCCCAGAAUAAAAGCUUGUUUGUUCUGAUUAAGCUUAUGUUUAUUAGAUUAAUUAUGAGAAUAAAGUACAAGAUACUGUGGAAACAUUUCGUAUUUCACUGAGCACUCACAUUUAUUUUCACAAAAGAAAUAAUAGGAAAAAAAUUACACGAAUGGCAUACUAAAAUCACAGUCAUUUUUUUAAAAUUAAAGAACAUGGAAGAACUCACCAUUAUAAAUGUAAUAAAUAUGUAAAAAGCCUUCAGUCAUAGUUUUAAACUUCAUGAACACUAGAGAACUCACAUGGAGGAGAAAUUCUAUAUAUUAUAUGAGUGUGGAGAUGCCUUCAUUCCUAAUGUAUCCUUUCAACAACAGAAGUCAACUAAACUAGGGAGAAACCGUGGAUCUAUGGUCACCAUGGGCAAGUAUUGUGUAAAAAUCCAGCCUUGACAUCCACAAAUAAACUCAGAGGAGGGGCAGCCCUGAAAGAGGAAACUCUGAAUCAUGAAAAGAGAGCUUCCUGAAUGUUAUGUGGAAAUAAUGGGAAAUGUGUUGUAAUUAUCUGCAAUCAAAGCAUAUGUAUAGAUGAAAAUCUAAUAAAAAUAAUUACUUUCUAUUAGUAUGUGCUAAUAUUUUUAAAGAAUAUAUCUGGUAUUUGUUUCUGGUUCCUGCAGAGUUUCAAAUCUUUUGGAAUUUCCUGAGUGACAGGAGUAUAUUUAUUGUACUAAUGAGAAAUAUAAUUCCUUAAAAAAUAAUGUGUACCUGGUGCUUCAAGAUGAUAGACAUUAUCUACAGAACAGAUACAAAUGAACUUAACAAUGGACUCCAGGUAUGUUUUCACCAAAUUCAAAUCUUCAAUGAAAACUACAGAACCCUACAGAGAGAAAUCAAAGAAGACCUUAGAAGAUGGAAAGAUCUACCUUGCUCAUGGAUAAAAAAUUAAUUUUAAUGAUGUCAAAUAUUAUUUUUAUUUCAUGGAUAUUGUUUUUCAUAAAUAAAUAUUGUUUUUCAACACCUAAAUACUCAAAACCAAACUCAAGGUUACCAAAUUUUUCUUUUGUUACCUUACAGGAUUUUUAUAGUUUUGCAUUUUACAGUUAGGCAUAUAAUCCAUUUUGAGUGAAUUUUUGAGAAAAGUAUAAAAACCUCAGUCUAAAUUUUUUAGUUGAUAUCCAGUUGUUCCAGUACCAAUUGUUUAAAACAAUAUUCUUACUCUGUUAAAUUGCCUUUGCUCCUUCGCAAAUGUCAGUUGACUAUAUUUGUAUCUAUUUCUGAUUCUCAAUUUGAUUUCAGUGACCUAUUUCUUUAUUCUUUUGCUAAUACCACACUAUUCAAUUAUUACCUUUAUAGUAAGUCUUGAAGUCAGAUAGUAUCAGUCCUCUGGCUUUGCCUUUAAUAAAUACUUGUUGGCUAUUCUGGGUCUUUGCCAGUAUCUAUAUAAACUGAACAAUCAAUUUGUAAAUAUCUGCAAAACAAUUUCCUGGGAUUUUAAUUAGUAUUAUCUUGGAUCUAUAAAUUAAGUUGGGUGAACUAACAUAUUAACAAUAUUAAAUCUCCCUAUUCAUAAAUAUAAAAAUCUCUAUUCAAAUAUUUGUAGUUUUUCUCAUACACAUUUUGUAAAUGUUUUGUUAGAUUUAUUUAGAAGUACUUUUGUUGCAUUGUAUUUUAAAUUUCAAAUUCCAAUUGUUCAUUACUGACAUGUAGAAAACAACUGACUUUUAUACAUUAAUCCUCUGUCCUACAUUCUAGCUCUAAUCACUUAACAAUUCCAGAAUUACUUUUCUUAAUGCUCUGGGAUUUUCUAAAAAGACAAUUAUGUCCUCAAUGAAGAUAUUUGUGUUUUCUGCUGUUGUUCUGGUUCCUUCUCAAUCAAUAACCUAUAUUUUAUCUUUUAUUUUUUCCCCCAGGGAUUGAAUCCAGGGGUGCUUAACCACUGAGCCACAUCCCGAGCCCUUUUUUUAAUUUUUUAUUUUGAGGCAGGGUCUUACUAAUUGGCUUAGGUCCUCACUAAGUUGUUGAGGUUGGCCUCAAACUUGCAAUCCUCCUGCCUCAGCCUCCCAAGCUGCUGGGAUUACAGGCAUGCACCACCAUGCCCGGCUAGGGGUGUGUGUCUGUGUGUGUGUGUGUGUGGGGGGGUGUCUGUGUGAGCAUAUUAUGCUUUGUUAUAUUAUGUAUAAUAUGGAUAUAUAUUAUGCUUUUUAUCAAGUUAAGCAAGUUCCCUUCUAUUCCUAGUUUUUAUCAUGAAAAUGCAUUGGAUUUUGUCAAAUACUUCCAUGUUUACUGAUGAUGAACAUGUGUUUUUUCGUCUAUUGACAUGCUGGAUUACCUUAAUUGAUUUUCAAAUUUUGAUCUAGACUUGAAUACCUGGGAUACAUCUCACUUGGUCAUCAUAUAUACCUUUUUAAUUUUCACUUUGUUGGUUCAAGUUACUAAUAUUUUGUGGAGAACUUUGCAUCUAUAUCCAUGAGACAUAUUGGUCUAUGGUUUUCUUGUAAUGUGUUCAUUUUCAGCAUUUGUGUAAUUUUGCCCCCCCCCCAAAAUAAGUUAGGAAGUGUUUCCUCUGCUUCUAUUUUCUGGAAGACAUUGUGGAAAACUGGUAGAAUUUCUUAAAUGAUUGGUUGAAGUUGCCCAUGAAACAAUCUGUACUUCCUGCUUUCAUUUCUGGAAAGUUUCUAAUUAGUGAUUUGUCAUUUUAAAUAGAGAUAUCCCUUUUCAAGUUCUCUCUUUAAUCUUGGAUGAGUUUUUUGUAGAUUGUGUCCUUCAUAAAAUUGACUCAUUUAAUCUAGAUCAUCAAAUUUAUAAGCAACAAAUUGUUCAGAAUAUUCCAUUACUAUCCUUUAGAUUUCACUUAAAUGUCUGGCUCCACUUCCAUUGAUGAUAUUAGUCAUUUGUGUCUUUAUUCUUUUUCUUGGUUAGACAGACUAAAGAUUUAUCAGCUUGGGUUUGGGGUGUAACCCAGUGGCAGAGUACUUGCCUACCAUGCAUGAUGCUGUGAGUUCAGCACUACAAAAAAAAAUCAAUUUUAUUGGGUUUUAUUUAGACUUUAUGUACCUUGUGUGGUUUCCAUUCUAUUUGUUAUUUUGUAUUUGUUGAGAUUUGUUUUAUGGUAUAAAAUGUUAUUUACUUUGAUGAAUACUCCAUGUGAACUUGAGAAGAAUAUGUAAUUUCCUAUUGAUGGAUACUCUGUAGAUAUCAGAUUCAUUAGAUUGAUGGUGCUGUCAAGAUUUAUUAUAUCUUUACUGGUUUAAUGCUGCUGAAUCUUUCCAUUUCUGGUGGAGGGGUGUUAAAUUCUUCAACUACUAUAGUAGAUUCUUACUAUAAUAGUGAUAUUUCUACUAAAAUGGUGAUUCCAACUAUUAUAAUGAUAUCAGUUUUUGUUACAUGUUUGUAAGCUUUGUUGCGAUUCACAUUCAUUCACAUUAAAGAUUGUCAUGUCUUUUUG